UACGUAGGGCGCGAGCGUUGUCCGGAAUUAUUGGGCGUAAAGAGCUCGUAGGCGGCCUGUCGCGUCAAUUGUGAAAGCCCGGGGCUUAACCCCGGGUCUGCAGUCGAUACGGGCAGGCUAGAGUGUGGUAGGGGAGAUCGGAAUUCCUGGUGUAGCGGUGAAAUGCGCAGAUAUCAGGAGGAACACCGGUGGCGAAGGCGGAUCUCUGGGACGGUACUGACGCUGAGACGCGAAAGCGUGGGGAGCGAACAGG
rnacentral:rRNA from 1 species